rnacentral:rRNA from 1 species
CCUGAAAACCGACACUGGUGGGCGAGAUGAAUAUUCUCAGGCGCUUGAGAGAACUCUGGAGAAGGAACUCGGCAAAUUGACACCGUAACUUCGGAAGAAGGUGUGCCUCUAGUAGGUGAAGGCGUACAGCUGGAGCCCAAUGAGGUCUCAGAAAAUCGGUGGCUGCGACUGUUUAUUAAAAACACAGCACUCUGCAAACACGAAAGUGGACGUAUAGGGUGUGACGCCUGCCCGGUGCCGGAAGGUUAAAUGAUGGGGUGCAAGCUCCUGAUUGAAGCCCCGGUAAACGGCGGCCGUAACGAUAACGGUCCUAAGGUAGCGAAAUUCCUUGUCGGGUAAGUUCCGACCUGCACGAAUGGCGUAACGCUGGCCACACUGUCUCCUCCAGAGACUCAGCGAAGUUGAAAUGGUUGUGAUGAUGCAAUCUACCCGCGGCUAGACGGAAAGACCCCGUGCACCUUUACUGUAACUUUGCAUUGGACUGUGAACCGAUCUGUGUAGGAUAGCUGGGAGGCUUUGAAGUGGGGGCGCUAGCUCUCAUGGAGCCAACGUUGAAAUACCAGCCUGAUUGUUUUGCGGUUCUAACCUAGGCUCGUCAUCCGGGCCGGGGAUCGUGCAUGGUAGGCAGUUUGACUGGGGCGGUCUCCUCCCAAAGAGUAACGGAGGAGUACGAAGGUGCGCUUACCACGGUCGGAAAUCGUGGCUUAAUGUGCAUAGGCAAAAGCGCGCUUGACUGCGAGACGUACAUGUCGAGCAGGUGCGAAAGCAGGUCUAAGUGAUCCGGUGGUUCUGUAUGGAAGGGCCAUCGCUCAACGGAUAAAAGGUACGCCGGGGAUAACAGGCUGAUUCCUCCCAAGAGUUCAUAUCGACGGGGGAGUUUGGCACCUCGAUGUCGGCUCAUCACAUCCUGGGGCUGUAGCCGGUCCCAAGGGUAUGGCUGUUCGCCAUUUAAAGUGGUACGUGAGCUGGGUUCAAAACGUCGUGAGACAGUUUGGUCCCUAUCUACCGUGGGCGUUGGAAGUUUGAGGGGGGCUGCUCCUAGUACGAGAGGACCGGAGUGGACGCAUCCCUGGUGUACCGAUUGUCACGCCAGUGGCAUUGUCGGGUAGCUAUAUGCGGAAGGGAUAACCGCUGAAAGCAUCUAAGCGGGAAACCUGCCCCAAGAUGAGACUUCCCGGAGGCUUGACCUCCCUAAAGGGUCGUCCGAGACCAGGACGUUGAUAGGCUGGGUGUGCAAGGGCCGUGAGGCCUUCAGCUAACCAGUACUAAUUGCCCGUGUGGCUUGAC